AGAUUGAACGCUGGCGGCGUGCCUAACACAUGCAAGUCGAGCGGUAACAGGUGUAGCAAUACAUGCUGACGAGCGGCGAACGGGUGAGUAAUACUUUGGAAUCUUCCCAGUAGUGGGGAAUAACCAGUCGAAAGAUUGGCUAAUACCGCAUACGUCUGUAAAGGGAAAGCGGGGGCUCGUAAGACCUCGCGCUAUUGGAUGAGCCAAAGUCGGAUUAGCUAGUUGGUGGGGUAAUGGCCUACCAAGGCGACAAUCCGUAGCUGGUCUGGGAGGACGACCAGCCACACCGGAACUGAGACACGGUCCGGACUCCUACGGGAGGCAGCAGUGGGGAAUAUUGGACAAUGGGGGAAACCCUGAUCCAGCGACGCCGCGUGUGUGAAGAAGGCCUGCGGGUUGUAAAGCACUUUUAGUGGGGACAAAAAAGCUACGGACUAAUAUUCUGUGGUCUUGAUUUAACCCAAAGAAAAGCACCGGCUAACUCUGUGCCAGCAGCCGCGGUAA
rnacentral:rRNA from 1 species